rnacentral:rRNA from 1 species
UACGGAGGGUGCAAGCGUUGUCCGGAUUUAUUGGGUUUAAAGGGUGCGUAGGCGGCUAUUUAAGUCAGUGGUGAAAUCCUGCAGCUUAACUGUAGAACAGCCAUUGAUACUGGAUAGCUUGAGUACAGACGAGGUAGGCGGAAUUUAUGGUGUAGCGGUGAAAUGCAUAGAUACCAUAAAGAACCCCUAUUGCGAAGGCAGCUUACUAGGCUGUAACUGACGCUGGGGCACGAAAGCGUGGGGAUCAAACAGG